rnacentral:lncRNA from 1 species
UUCAAAUACUUUUAUAGAAAAAAAUGGGAUAUAAGUCAAUUAGAAUAAAAUUGCCUUUCUCAAGGAAGGGAAAAAAAAAACAGUGCUGAAAAUGAAAAAAGGAUGCCCUCCAUAUCCCAGGAAACUCAGGAAUUCCAGUAAGCAGUGCCUGCUGGGAGAAGGUACAGUAUAUAUUGCCCAUUGAGGAAAAGGUUCUGUAUGAGACCCUCUAGUUAGAGACAAUGGCUCUGAAUUAGUAAAGGAGAAAAUCUCAGUUCUAAUUUUAGAAGUUCAGGGAGUGCUCCCAUAACUGAUAACCCAAAUAGUCCCCAGUUUACACUUGUAUGUUACAAAUGGCACACUGAGCCAACAUUGGGGGUUAGUUGAGUUGCAACUCCUGUUAAGUAGGGUAGCGCCCUGUUACCUUUGGACUGCAGCAGACAGAACCGAGG